rnacentral:lncRNA from 7 species
GCAGUGCUAUCGGGUUGAGAAGAUCUUCUCUCAAGUUCUUCGUUCUGUGAUCUCUGAUGAAUGGGAAGAAACGCAAAGUGUUGCCCCAGGCUAUCGAGGCAGAUCUGGAUUGAUGUUGCCAAGUGAGCACAGGAGGCUUUGGAGAAACCUCGGCUGUAUUGGAGUUGAUUGGGAUUUGACAUUGGUUUCUGUUACUGGGAGGCAGUUUGUACCUUCUUUGGGACAGUGCAGCUGGUUGUAUUCUCCAGGAUGUGGGGUACCCUGUAUAUGGCACUCUGUGUGAGAAGCUGUCCUAUAGAGAAGAUAGGAGGGAGUGAGAAUUCAGGCUUCACAGAGGCUUCUCCUGUGGUUGUGUUGAGGGGAGCCCCUCGCCUGGCUCUGCUGCGUUGGAGCAGUGACACUGCUGGCCUGGCACCUGCCUGCCUGCUGGUGAUCACCUGCUGGAACUGCCUUACUGCAGAGGAGCGUGAAGGACCUGCUGUAUGGGAAGUUUUCAUCUGCUUCAUUGGAGACGCACUUGGGCCCUCAGAACACCUACUAGGCAUGUUGGCAGUUCUUCAGGUUAAAAGAGAGUAAACAUCAAGAGAAACAAGCAAAAAGGAGAGGUGUGUGACUCCUAUCAGGGAACUCGGAGCCCAUUUCAAGUUACUGCAUACUCAAGAGAAAGAUAAAUGCAAAGGAACUGUUCAUGUGUUCAGUGUGUAAAAUUCACAAAGAAGGAAAUGGCAUCUAAGUAAGUUUAAUGUACAACAUGUGCAAAUUCAGCCUUGCAAAGAUUGUCAUAACAUUUUCAAGCUCUUGUCCAAAUUCUGCUUGCUUUCCUGUAUAGAUAAUUAUGUUAGGUAAAACCCUUCUUACACCCUCUUGUUUGUAGUGGAGAGUGCUGUUUUUGUCAGUCACUAGAGAAAGCAGAUAAAUAGAAAUUUCUACACAUAGAAUUGUAUUGUAAAUAUUUUCUGAAAAGAUCUUUCACUCAGAAGAAAAUUGGAAAUGUUUUCUAGUUGUUGAGUUCCAGGAGCUAAACAAAUGCCAAAUACAUUAAAUGUAGCUAUUGUAGAAAGUCAUAUGUCUUGCAUGAUUUAGGCAUUUUUGAUUAGGUGCUUCUUUUAAGCAUCUUGAGUUCUUGCCACAUAGAGAGCUGUUGAUUUUACUCAGAUCCUGUUAGUUUUGUAUGGUUUUCCCUCCAGUACAGAGGAACCAAGAGCUGAGAUAAGACUAUUUAGAAACUCUGAAACCUAACAGCUUUCCUGGAUUGAAACCUUUCCAGUGUUCCAGUAUAUUUUAAAGAGCAGUCCAUGCUGGGGGAAAGGCAGUGAAAACGAACUGUGUAGCAAAAUGUUAAAUAGAAUAUAGCUUUGUGGGGACAAAACCAGGUGUGUUUUUAAAACGGGUCAUGCUGAAUCCUUUAAGGAAUUACUUUCUCUGAGCUAGUGAAAUUGCUUUUAGAGUUGUUCCCUUCCUAGAGGGAAGGAAAAAAAAAAUCAAAAACUGACCCAUCACAUUAGAAACAUGUCAGGCUGUUACUAAAUCCACCGUGCAAACAGCCCUACUUCCCUGACAAAUAGAUCUUGAACACUAAUAGAAAAAUAGAAAAUACUAGUGCUAAUUGCUGCACUAACAUUAGCUAAUUCACUUUAUUAAGUAGGUAAUGAACUGAAGCCAUCACGGUCUAAUUGAAAUAAAUAAAUACAUUAAAACUGUGAAUUGAAGUAACUGCAUUUUGAUGGGUCUGGGUUAUUCAUAUUGCUACAAAAUGUUAUUUUUAAUCCAAACACUGCUGGGUGCAUCUCCUUGUGCCCCAGGGGUAGUACAAAGUAUGGUAUUGGCCUCUAUUUCUGUACCCCAUUUACUUCACAUUCACGCUGCUUCCAGAUGAUUUUUUCCUAGCAAGAUCUGGUAACUUAAAAAAAACAAUAAUAAAAAAAGAAUGAGGGAAACUUCAAAUAACAAUAAAAUGAGCACCAAAGUAUAGGACUCUAGUGUUAGCUAUCUCUACAGUGCCUUUGAUGUAUGUC